UUUUCUUGCUCUUCUUCUGGAUUUACACCGUGUUUUUUCCUUCCUAUUUCAUGUUAGUUUCUUAUUUUGCUCGAUAUAAUUUUUAUGCUAAUUGUUGAUGAUGAAUAUUUGCCCUCUCUAUCACUUAUAUUCUCUUGCUCGACUCUUCUUCUUCUGAAAUGGCAAUGGUGAAGAAAAAGGCACAAUAAUCUCUGUGUGAUUUGGCAAGCAAGUUCUUCUAAUUUCUUCUGCUUUCCAAGUAUGAGUUAUAUACAUUGCUGUUGUGACAAAUUGUUCGAUGAUAUGACGGACCCGAGAACCACUACAACUUGAUUUCGGCGUUUCCGGUUCUCUACAACAUAUUGAUCUAUCUUUCAGCAAUUUCAGAGGUGAUAUGUGCUUUUCAGUUGUAAAUUAAGUCAUGCAAUGAUGAAUUGUCAUCUGUUAGUAUACAAUGUCAAUCAUCAAGAUGGUAACUUUUACCCACGAACCAAUCUUGGACUAUAUUAUGAAGGUGAGCUAUAAUGUCUAUGUAAUUUGGCAACUUUCUAUUUCCAUCUGUUAGGACUGAUCUAUUUUUAGGGUGUGUUUCAUUUUCAGUCUCUUGGUCUAGAUUGUUGCUUUGCCCCUUCAAUGGGAAGAUCAGUUGAGGUUACUACAGGUCCAGGAAUGAGCCACACCUUAAUUAACUUAGCUGAAAGUGAUAGACUAGGUAUACUAUCUGAAGUAAGUGCUGCCUUCCCCAAUCUUAGAUGCAAUAUGGUGAAUGCUCAAGUGUCGAACUUUAACACCUGAGUAGAAGCUAUAUCGCAAGUUACUGAUGAGAAAAAUGGGGUUACAAUUUUGGACCCUGAAAAGUUGUUUAUGAUCUAGCAACUUUUUUGCACUGUUCUUAGAAGUAGUAAAAAUCAAGAGAUGUCAUACUUUGCUAUAUCAUGGGGCCACCCAGACUGAGAGAAGGCUUAACCAGUAGAUGUUUGUAGACGCGGACUAUUAACAUGCGAUAAGUGAAAAUCAGACAUGAAGAAAGGCCAAAUAUGUUGUUAAUUGGCACGACAAUGACUACUCAGUAGUGAUAAUUCGGUGCAAGAGUAGCCUAAAACUUCUAUUUUGUAUGAUCAAUACUUUGGGAGUUAUGCAGCAUGUUGGUUUUCCAUAGUAAUGUCGAUGUUGAAGGACCAAAAGAUUAAGAGGUACUAUAUUUUCUUAUGUAUUUCAGAAAUUUUACAUUGUUUAUAGCUUUACAUCUAACUAGAACUUGUUCUAUACAUAUAUUUGUGGACUCUAUGAUAAUCUUUGUUACGUUCAAGGAAUACUACAUAAGGCAUCUUGAUGAAUCACCUGCAAAAUCAAGAUGCAGGAAGACAAGUAGCCUUUCAAUGUCUUGAAGCAACAAUUGAAAGAAGCGUUUCCAAGAUUAGCACUUUGAUUUACCGUUUUUGACAUAUAGGUAUAAUUUUUCAGCUCUAGCUCGCUCUUUCAAGUAAUUCACUUAAGUAUUGACCAGUAAAUAGAUGCAACAGGAAAAAGGAGAAGAGGGGGCAAAAAGAGGAUGUAAUGCACUGGUUUCAACCUUUUCUUUUUUGUUUUGUCUAUUUACAUUAACUUCUGUUCCAGGGGAUUCUUAUUCCUGUUGGAGAUGUUGGUGCACGUUGAAAUCUCUUUCUUCAUGUUUUCUUGGUUAAAUUUGUACAUGGAUGUAGUUAAUUCGUAAAUUUUUUCAAUAGAAGCACACUGAAUGGCCAUCCGGAACAAAAUUGUAAGAAACAAAAAAGGAAGAAUUUUGAUGCAGCAAAUUUGUUUGACGAUAAACUUGAAACAACUGAACAAAUAUUUUAUCCAAUUUUACCAGUUGUUCCACAAAAUAACCAUUUAUCAUGCAGAAACUCCAAAGGUACAUUGCUUACUUCCAGUAGAAAAUUAUUGAAAAUUAUUUUAUGCAUUAUGUAUUGUCAAUUCACUAUGAAUCGAAAGCUAAUUACUGACUCAGUUCAAAAUUACUACUUUUUGGCAGAUAAUUAAAUGGGAGCUGACUUGACAAGAGGACCCAUGAAGAAAUAAGAUAGCCAUACAUGGCUUUAGUGAGAUGAACACCAUGCCAGUUAACGUGUUGAGAAGGUCAGGACAAGAGCUUGCAGAAGGAGAACCCAUGUGUUGAAUCCGUCAAAGUCAAUAUAUGCUCCAUGUUGGUUUCAAUUCUGCGUUUUAUACGGAGUUAUUUUGGAAGAAAGGGCACUUGUUUCAUCAAGUUGACAGCUUGGUCAAGUGAAGAAGAUUGGAGAAAAAGAGUUUGGACGAAACGGGAUUUGAAUUUAGACUAGCGUAAAGGGCGAAAAAGUUAUUUCGGAAGAUAGAGCCCUUGUUUCAUCCAUUUAACAAGUUGGUCAAGUGAAGAAGAUAGGAGAAAAAGAUUUUGGAGGAAACGGGAAUUGAGUUUGGAGAGGCGUAAGGAGCGAAAAAAGUAUGUAAAGCCGUUCCUUUCCUUCUCUUGGCAUGUCCUAGGUGUACUAGGGUUGGAAUUGAGCCUCGGAAAGUAUUCUAUUCAUAGAAACUCGAGAUUGAAAAUGUCCUCUUUCCAUUCAAUAUAAUUGAAUCUUAAUUGUAUGUUUGGUUGAAAGAAUUGUGUAAGCUUUUAUAAAUUGCCUAGAAAGUUAGGGAAUGUCCCUAGGACCUCCAUGGAUGACUCUAUAGACCUAAUAUACGUAAUUUGCGCCCAUCGCUUCAUUUGACCCGAGGUGGGCCCACAAUUCCCGACUUGUUUCUUAUUGUACUAAUGUCUUAUUUCCAAGCCAUGUAAAAUGAAACGUUUUUAACUAUCCUUCUAGCUACUAAAGGAUAAUUGUUUUAAUAGUUCCCGUGAGUCUUGUAAACUAUUUUGGAAUAUGGAAGCGACCUCAGAAAGAGUAUUUCUCCGUACUUAUUAUGACAUCCGAAAUACACUUACUAUGAUUCUGUCUGAUUUCAUUAUUUCGAUUUGUCAUUCGUUAUGUCUUAUUGAGUCUCUGGAAAUAUAUGGUAUUUUAUACUGCAUUUAGUUUCUCACUACUCCACUCGUGGAUGUCUCAAUGUUUCCCUCACUGAGCCCGGUCCAGGAUAUGUUAAUGUCAAGCGUAUUCCACUGCAUUGUUCGCCGUGCCUCGAUGUGAGAGGGCAGGUUUACUUGUACAUGGGUUGUGGAGUAUGCUGUGCCAUGUACACACAUUCUGAUAUGACAUGAUAUGAUUUGAUAUGGUCAUCUGAUAUGAUAUGUUAUGAUACGGGGUUAUUCCCUAUUCUGGAGGAUGAUGUGUUGUGGCGCCAGUGUCGGGGUGGCGACCACGUUCUGUUCACCGUGUCCCUUGACGGGGGCCGGAUAUGAUAUGACAUAUGUUUCUGCAUACGUUCUUUAUGUUUUGGAAAUAUGCAUUUGAUAAUCUGGAUAUUACACUCAUUUUCUGCAAGUUCUGUUUCGACUAUGAUUUUGUUUCUGUACUUCAGGCUUUACAUAAUCAGUACAUAUUCCGUACUGACCCCCUUUCUUCGAGGGCUACGUUUUCAUGCCGCGCAGGUACAGACGACAGAUUUGUUGAUCCGCCUGCUUAGGACUAUAUUCUGCUAUCUUGGAGUGCUCUAUUGUUCGGAGCCUACGUUUUGGUACAGUCUUUGCCAUUGUACAUAUGUAUGCUAUUCAGGGGUACGACGGGGCCCUGUCCCGUCUUAUGAUUCUGAUGUGUUCUGCAGAGGUCUGUAGACAUACAUGUGGGUUCUGUAUAUGCUUUGGGUUGAUAUGAUCUGUGAUAGCCUUAUCGGCUUCUACGUGCUAUAUCUGUUCAUCUGCGAUAGUUAGUGACGCCAUUUGACUUUUAUAUCUAUAUAUUCUGCUAAUAUACCGGUUUGGGUUAUGGGGUACGUCCGGGUGUCCAGCACGGACACU